UGUGUUCAUAAUUUCUCUACAGCUCAAAGUGGUUGGGAAGAAGAUAAAUGAUAUCUUGAGUGUCCACGUGACAAAAUAGUCCACGUGUCACCCUAUUGCUAUCCCGAUUCACUCCGUUCGACUCCACCAUCUCCGAUUGAACCUACCGAUGCGGUUUGAUCUGUAAUUAGAUUUUGGUUGACAUUGUUGGUGAAGCACACCAAAUUCUUGCUUGAUCCAUCAGAGAAUGAAGUUGGUGAUCGGAUAAUUGCAUUAUUGCAACAGGGGACGAUAUUUGACAACUUGCAGCGACAGCACCAAACUUAAAAUAUUCUCCAGGCAGCUACUAGACUUGGUAUAGCUUCUUCUAGAUCAGCUCUGGCAAAGAGAAGUGCUUCAAGAACUCAUUGACAGGGCAGUGAAAGAGAAGAAAAUCGGAAGGAGUCAAUUUGUGGCUUACCUCUUGCAUAUCAUGAGAAAAUACUCCAGUCUAUUCUGCAGUGAAAUUUUGGACACCAUGUUCCCUCACUGGUCUAUAAGCCCAUGGAGAGUAGGGAUUCAGGAGAGAUGCCCAUUCCACCAGAAGUACUGAGGUGUCAUUAUUGCCUCUGGACAGACUUAAUGAACGGGUUUGUAUUGGGAUUGGUUCAGUGAUGAACAACUCUUUGCCCCAAGACUCAGCAGCAACUCUGUGUUAUGUUCUAAUUGACACUCAGGGUGCCUUUAAAGCCUUGCUCCAAGAUUCAUGAUUCAAUUUGGUUUGUUAGCUUGAACAGGUUUCGGGUAAAUCAGUUACUCUUGAGAGAACUGGGACUAGUGACAGGACAUGAGAUGCUGACAAUUUGGAGAAAUGUGGUGGUUGUAGCUGCUCCAUCAUACCGUUGCCUCUUGGUCUCUGCUUGGAUGGUCAACCUCACAUUUCAGUGAAUCUAAUCAUUAUUCUUUGUUAUUGAGAACACAGAAAAGGCUCUUUUUGGAUAACCAUGCCCUGUUAUUAGCGGCUACCACUAGUCCAAAAGUAACAUACAGUACAACAAUUUGACUGCUAACAACAGAGUAAAAUCGGAGGAACAUAUGGUCCCUCUAAUUCUCAGA